UAGCCUCUCACUCCCUAUGGUGUCUGUCUGU
rnacentral:piRNA from 1 species